AUGGCGAUGGCGGACGCUGCAGGCGACGGAUUCGAGUUCCUAUCAGAUCCAAUUGACAGAUUCCCAUUGCCGGAUCUCGCCGCCGCCGAAUUCUUUCUGCGCGGCGAAGCAAAUCAAUCUCUUGGGUGCGCCGUCGCUCAAUCUAGCAAUGGUGCUGUUUGGGAUGGCGCAGUGAUAGCACAAGAAGAAUUUGAGAGCGGCUCCAAAAGGAUCGCAAACAUCGAAUUCAGAGCGUUGGACAGCAAGGGCGAUGGACAAGCGGCUGACUCAGCCAACAGGUUUCGCUUGCCGGACCUCACCACCAGUAAAUCAUUGCUGGAUGGCGAAGCAAUGCAAACUUUGGUAUGCGCAGACGCUGAAUCCAGCAUUGGUGAUGUGGGUGAUGGUGAGGCAACAAUACAAGGAGAUGUCAAUAGCACCUGCAGUGGGAUGGCCCUGUCCAUGCCAACCUCAGAACAAUCGACAGGCAAAGACAAUCCUCAAGCACCUAGCUGGAUCAAGAGGAUCAGUGCCCUCGAAAAAACAUUGCAAAGAUAUGCAGAGAAGAAGACUGACACAGUCGUGGUUCCAGCAACAGGUAUCAACUUUGAUUCACUUGGAGAAGCGUAUGAUUGCUACAAUCUCUAUUCCUAG
rnacentral:rRNA from 1 species